GUAAACUGCGAAUGGCUCGGUAAAUCAGUUAUAGUUUAUUUGAUAGUGCAACCUACUCGGAUAACCGUAGUAACACUAGAGCUAAUACGUGCGUAAAUCCCGACUUUUUGAAGGGACGUAUUUAUUAGAUUUAUGGCCAGCCGGGCUUGCCCGACCAGCGGUGAAUCAUGGUAACUUGACGGAUUGCAUGGCCUUUGUGCCGGCGACAUGUCAUUCAAAUUUCUGCCCUAUCAACUUUCGAUGGUAAGAUAGUGGCUUACCAUGGUCUCAACGGGUAACGGGGAAUUAGGGUUCUAUUCCGGAGAGGGAGCCUGAGAAACGGCUACCACAUCCAAGGAAGGCAGCAGGCGCGCAAAUUACCCAAUCCCAAUUCGGGGAGGUAGUGACAAUAAAUACUGAUACGGGGCUCUUUCGGGUCUCGUAAUUGGAAUGAGUACAAUCUAAAUCCCUUAACGAGGAACAAUUGGAGGGCAAGUCUGGUGCCAGCAGCCGCGGUAAUUCCAGCUCCAAUAGCGUAUAUUAAAGUUGUUGCCCUUAAAAAGCUCGUAUUUGAACCUUGGGCCUGUGUGAUAUGUG
rnacentral:rRNA from 1 species